rnacentral:rRNA from 1 species
UACGGAGGGGGCUAGCGUUGUUCGGAAUUACUGGGCGUAAAGCGCACGUAGGCGGCUUUGUAAGUUAGAGGUGAAAGCCCGGGGCUCAACCCCGGAAUUGCCUUUAAGACUGCAUCGCUAGAAUUGUGGAGAGGUAAGUGGAAUUCCGAGCGUAGAGGUGAAAUUCGUAGAUAUUCGGAAGAACACCAGUGGCGAAGGCGACUUACUGGACACAUAUUGACGCUGAGGUGCGAAAGCGUGGGGAGCAACCAGG